rnacentral:rRNA from 1 species
CACGCCGUAAACGAUGGAUACAAGGUGUAGGAGGUAUCGACCCCUUCUGUGCCGGAGCUAACGCAGUAAGUAUCCCGCCUGGGGAGUACGGCCGCAAGGCUGAAACUCAAAGGAAUUGACGGGGGCCCGCACAAGCAGCGGAGCAUGUGGUUUAAUUCGAAGCAACGCGAAGAACCUUACCAGGCCUUGACAUCCCGCGACAAGCGUAGAGAUACGCCAUCCCUUCGGGGCGCGGUGACAGGUGG